rnacentral:misc_RNA from 1 species
AACUUUCAGCAACGGAUCACUUGGCUCUCGCAUCGAUGAAGAACGCAGCGAAAUGCGAGAAGUAAUGUGAAUUGCAGAAUUCAGUGAAUCAUCGAAUCUUUGAACGCACCUUGCGCUCCUUGGUAUUCCGAGGAGCAUGCCUGUUUGAGUGUCAUUAAUAUAUCAACCUUCUCUUUUUGAGUGGUUUGGAUGUGGGGGUUUGCUGGCCUCUUAAAAAGGUCUUGGCUCUCCUGAAAUACAUUAGCAGAACAACCCUGUUCAUUGGUGUGAUAACUAUCUACGCUAUUGAAUGUGAAGGGCAGUUUGGCUUUCUAACAGUCCUUGGACAAGCUCAUCAUUAAUGUGACCUCAAAUCAGGUAGGACUACCCGCUGAACUUAAGCAUAUCAAUAAGCGGAGGCU